rnacentral:snoRNA from 1 species
AAAGAAUAUAUAUACUGAAAGCCAAUAUGAAGCAGCUGUGCUGUCAUUCCCUCUCAUCAAAAUAAGUAUUUCUUAACUAACCUGCUUGUUAUUCCCUGCAGCCAGGGAUGUUGUUCUCACACAU